rnacentral:rRNA from 1 species
CGGGUGCACUGAUCCAGCCGGGCCUUUCCCUCUGUGGAACCCCAUGGCCUUCACUGGCUGUGGCGGGGAAACAGGACUUUUACUUUGAAAAAAUUAGAGUGCUCCAGGCAGGCCUAUGCUCGAAUACAUUAGCAUGGAAUAAUAGAAUAGGACGUGUGGUUCUAUUUUGUUGGUUUCUAGGACCGCCGUAAUGAUUAAUAGGGACAGUCGGGGGCAUCAGUAUUCAAUUGUCAGAGGUGAAAUUCUUGGAUCUAUUGAAGACUAACUACUGCGAAAGCAUUUGCCAAGGAUGUUUUCAUUGAUAAGGAACGAAAGUUAGGGGAUCGAAGACGAUCAGAUACCGUCGUAGUCUUAACUAUAAACUAUGCCGACUAGGGAUCGGACGAUGUUAUUCUUUGACGCGUUCGGCACCUUUCGAGAAAUCAAAGUGCUUGGGCUCCAGGGGGAGUAUGGUCGCAAGGCUGAAACUUAAAGAAAUUGACGGAAGGGCACCACCAGGGGUGGAACCUGCGGCUUAAUUUGACUCAACACGGGGAAACUCACCAGGUCCAGACACAGUGAGGAUUGACAGAUUGAGAGCUCUUUCUUGAUUCUGUGGGUGGUGGUGCAUGGGCCGUUCUUAGUUGGUGGAGUGAUUUGUCUGCUUAAUUGCGAUAACGAACGAGACCUUUAACCUGCUAAAUAGCCCGUACUGCUUUGGCAGUUCGCCGGCUUCUUAGAGGGACUAUCGG